GGGGUGAUCUACCCAUGGCCAGGUUGAAGCACGUGUAAGAGCGUGUGGAGGACCGCACCCGCCUCAGUUGAAAAUGGGGGGGAUGAGCUGUGGGUAGGGGUGAAAGGCCAAUCAAACCCCGUGAUAGCUGGUUCUCCCCGAAAUGCAUUUGGGUGCAGCGUCCCGUGCUCCCCGGCGGAGGUAGAGCUACCGGUUGGCUGAUGGGCCCCACAGGGUUACUGGCGUCAGCCGAACUCCGAAUGCCGUCGGGCGGUGAGCGGGGCAGUGAGACCGCGGGGGAUAAGCUUCGCGGUCGAGAGGGGAACAGCCCGGAUCGCCGGCUAAGGCCCCUAAGCGCGCGCUAAGUGGGAAAGGAUGUGCGGUCGCGGUGACAACCAGGAGGUUGGCUCAGAAGCAGCCAUCCUUGAAAGAGUGCGUAAUAGCUCACUGGUCAAGUGGUCGUGCGCCGACAAUUGAGCGGGGCUCAAGCGCGCCGCCGAAGCCGCGGAUCCGCCGCGAUGGGCUCUGCCGCCCCCUGUGGGGGGGUGGUGGGGCGCGGCGGGUGGUAGGGGAGCGUCCCGCGCGGGGUGAAGCCGUCGGGUGACCGGGGGUGGACGGCGCGGGAGUGAGAAUGCAGGCAUGAGUAGCGAUACUGGGGUGAGAAGCCCCAGCGCCGCGUGACCAAGGGUUCCAGGGCCAGGCUAGUCCGCCCUGGGUGAGUCGGGACCUAAGGCGAGGCCGACGGGCGUAGUCGAUGGAUGACGGGUUGAUAUUCCCGUACCGGACCGGAUACCGACCGUGCCGACGCGCGGGUGCUGACCCACGCCCCGCGCCGCCCGUGUACGCCCCCGCGUCCCGGUCUUCGGGCCGGGCGGGGGCGGGGCGGCGGGGGUCUGGGGACCCUCCGCGCAGGUAGGCAAGCGUAUUAACAGGGGUGACGCGCAGUGGUGGCCCCGCGGGUCUGAUGGCUCGGCCCGUUCAAGCGCGCGGCCCGCCGCCCAGGCAAAUCCGGGCGGCUGCCUUCGAUGGCGGGGGUGAGGCGCGACGGUGACCCGGCCCGAUGGGGCCGGGGAAGCAGGGUGAUCCUGAGGCGCCUAGAAAAGCCUCGACGCGAGGGGCCGGUCCGCCCGUACCCCAAACCGACACAGGUGGUCGGGCAGAGCAUGCCCAGGCGCACGGGCGAACCGUGGUGAAGGAACUCGGCAAAACGCCCCCGUAACUUCGGGAGAAGGGGGGCCCGAACCCUGAGGCCCCGAGCGGGUUGGGGGUGAGGGUCGCAGAGGCCAGGGGGGAGCGACUGUUUACUAAAAACACAGGUCCGUGCGAAGCCGCAAGGCGAUGUAUACGGACUGACGCCUGCCCGGUGCUGGAAGGUCAAGAGGACCCGUCAGCCCCCCUUGCGGGGGUGAAGCGGUGAAUUCAAGCCCCAGUGAACGGCGGUGGUAACUAUAACCAUCCUAAGGUAGCGAAAUUCCUUGUCGGGUAAG
rnacentral:rRNA from 1 species